AUUGCAGAUGUCUCACAUUCUGAACUGGCCAGCAGUAACGUAAAAGCUUUUCAUGGGAAUUGAAUAAUGGCUCAACUUGAUCAGCCUGUGAACAAGCCUUUCAUAAGUCUCUUCAUGUGGAUCAUAGAUGUAAUAGCAUAUAAUAAAACCUAACUGUGAUCUCAGACCAUCUUUCUGAUCCUGCUGGAAGUAGAAGGCAACAAGUCCACCCUGGCUCAUCAAGUCACCUUAUGCUCUAUGAAGAUUCCUCUAAAGCCUGGAGUCACCUUCAUUAGGAACUCAAAUAGUCAGCUCUAAAGAUGUCAUUACAUCACAUUUCCCCACACCCAUCAUCUUCACCUUUCAUGGUGUCUACAUCUGGGUCCAGCUCCUUUCUGUUUUUCUGCCUUUGCCAUACUUCAUUUUUCCAAGUCAACACUCUACACUGGAAAGAACUGUGAGGCUCUAAUGACUGAAAUAUGGAGAAAAUCUGGGCUAGGGAGAAAAAAAGUUAGCUGUGAUAUUUUUUUCUCUUGGUGCCCUUGUUUUCUCUGCAAGUGUCUCAUUCUCAGAAUGACAGUGGGUUCAUGCCAGAGAUCCAAAAGUUAGCAGUGCCAUUUUUUGCUCUGUUUAGAGUUUUCAUGAUUUAGGCAGUGCUAUGUGAUAUCAUGUGGAGCUUACCAGAACUCCAGUGAAUGCAGAGGAUUAACUCCAGGGACACGUAGUGAGGAAUUUCAUUGCAACUCCUGUGACUGCCUUGCAUAAUGCUGGGUGAAACCUUGUUCCUGUGAAUGGUCCUUCAUCACACAAGAGCUUUGUCUAGCGAGUGAGCAGGCUUGGGAAUCUCUUCUAAUUUGUCUGUACUAUCUGUUGUUGGGAGGCUUAAGUGUACUACAACAGUAAACUUUUUGCCUUUGCUGAAAAGACUUUAAACAUACAGAAACCGGAAAAGAUUGGGAGCAAAAGAGAUUAGAAGAGCUUUAACAGAGGAGGCUGGAAGAGGCUUGGCCUGGGUGACUACUGAAAGGAUACCUGAAAGGUCCUCACCAACGUAAACUGUUAGAAGUGUCUUCCAAAGAGUAGAAAAACAGAUGAAGUAAUAGGUCUGUUGCUCUGGUGCAGCAGCUUGGAAGACAAUUUAUGAGACAGCAGAAACCAUGCAGAUUGAAUGUAAGCCUCCAAUCAUGACAAGAAGUGAUAUGCAAGACGUACAUGCCACAUAAUGAGAUGAGGAAGAGCGACCCAAGUUUCUUAAUUGAAGAAACACAUCCAAUUGCUGCUGUGUGCCUUUAACCAAUAGCUUCCUGCUGAAUAAACGCUGAGGGCAUUCCUGACAUUCCCGGAGGAAGGCUGCUGGCGGAGCAAGCUGUCGUGGCUCUGUCCCAUCCCAGUUAUGUGCUGACGGCUGAGCUACACCCGUGCAGACGCCGUCUGGGCUUUCCAGCCAUAUACGGACAACGCCCGAAUAUGAACCCAGUGCUCUUCUGCCCCUGGAACGCACUGAGGUCUCACGGGCAGCAGUCAUUCUGGCUACAUUAAAUUACUCAUAAGUGAAGGCCCAGAUGUGUGUUUAUCAUCUUUAUAUAAAACCAGACUUCCUUGAAAAUAAAAAGCUACCAUUUUAUAAAAGCCAUGUAAAACAUCACUGAAAUUUUCAUUAUGGAAGAGGAUUAGAUGGGAAAACAACAAAUUAGAUGUCCACAAAAUGCAAAUACAGAACACAGCCCAACAGAUGACUGCUGUGCUCCAACACAAUUCUAGUGGUGACUCUUGGGAGAGCAGACAUCUGAAGUGUCUAGCCAAAAGGGAAGCAUAAUAUUCAGCUUUAGAGUGACUGCAGUGGAACCUUAGAAUUGUUUGUUUCUGUUUACAGCAAGACGCACACAGAAGCUCCUGGCAAACAUGUGAGGUUUUGUUCAUUGCAUGGAUCUCCAAUGGGCUGCUUGGAGAUAGAAUAUCAUCCUAUUGCAGACAGUCCUUACUAAGGGCCAGAAGUACUUUGAGUUCUGCAGCCUACUUUGCUGGGCUAAGUACCAAGGUUCAACUCAGAGCAAAAUGGCAAAUGAAAAUAAUUUCUUGUACCUGCAAUCAGCAUGACUGGCACAGACAAUUUACCACAGCACAUCUCUUAACUUUCUGCUGAUAGGAGACAAGAAGAAAGACUGACAAACUGUUGAAUUGGAUCUCAGCUCUCCUGCUACAGAAGUCAAACACUACCAGUGGACUGUGCCAGAGAUUAGCACAGUUUUCAGAUGUGGCCUGUCUUUGACCAGUAGUCUUUGACCUCUCAUGAGACAAGAGACAAGGGUGACAGCUAGUUCCAGUAGUGACUAUCCUUUCUGCAACAUGAUCAUCUGAAAUGACAUAGAAACUUGACUGGGAAUAAAGACAGAAAACUUGGCUAAUAGCAACUAGACAUAAUCAUCUUGCUUUUUAAAAGGAAGAAAUAUAUGAAGAAAAGAAAGGAAGGAGAGAAUUUAAAGUACAUGAUCUCCCUCUAUCUUCCAUUUGCUGUGCUGUGAGUUCUGGGCCAGUAUCUUGCCUUAGCAGAUGAGCACAAGAAAAUCAGUCUUCUCAGCCUCUGCCAUAAGAGAUCCGCAAACAGGGACUCUCUGGCGCUUAUCUUGUUUGGAGGAGAUGGAGUAUUUCUUCAAGAGGAAGUACAAGAUGUUUCUCUGAUAUCUUUCAAUCCGGGGCAUAGAAGAACUUAAGAAUGUGGGGGAAAACUGUGAUUACAGAGUUUGUCAGAAAGCUACCUUUUUGCUACAAAGUCCUGCUCCAAAAAAGUAGUGCUUACACUAAGCAAAGGACUUUUCAGCUUCUUGCUCUGUUCUGCCAGCGGGCAGGCUAGAGGUGCAGCAAGAACUGGGAGGGGACAGACCCAGGACAGCUGACCCAAACUGGCCAAAGAGGUUUCAAAAUCAGCUAAAAAGUAGUGUCAAGAGGUUAACCAUUUAGGUUGGAAAAGACCCUUAAGAUUAUGAAGUCAUAAAGCUGAAGAUGAGAACAAAUGGCAUAGCUGUGGUGGAACAAAGGGUCCUUCUGCACUUUUCGGUGUAGAGAGACCUGAUUUUGUUUGGCCUGUGCUGACCCCAGAACUGGAAGUCAGAAGACCAGAGUGACAAGACACCUGUUCCUACAGGACAAGAGCCUCCACAAACCAGGCCUUUGAGCCAUGUUGGCCCUGAACUGCAUCUAUUUUAAUAACUCUACCUGACAGCAAAUCUGUGGCAGAGCUAGGAUUAGAAUGUAAUCAUCCUGGCUCAGUCAUGUGCAUAGAUUAUUUCUAAAACUUCCCUCAACAUCCAGGUUCCCAUAGCCGAUAAAAUAUAUAAACUAUGCUCUCUUAUCUUCUUAAUUCUCAGCAGAAUUCUCACUGUAACCUGAAAGACAUUCUUAAGCAAACAAAACAAGUUGACCUCUAAACUGUGCUUUCCAGCAGUAGGAGUUGUCGUUCUAACCCAGGGGCUGGGCAUUCAGUUUUCACAGCUUGCAGCAGACUCUCAAAUGAAAGUAUAAUUUCUUAAUUGCAUUCUGUAACAGCAGGUCCAGAGUAAAUAUAAGGUUACAUUUCAAUGAUCAGAAUUUCAGGAAUAAAAACAAAAUUUGCAUGCAUAGGAAAAGACAAUGUUGUAUUAUAUUUCCCAGUAUCUCAUUUCUGUUCUGGAGAUCCCCUCUGAACUAAUGGCAGAUGUUAUAUACAUGGUCCACUACAAGCCAGCCCUCCACAGCUUUCCAUCACCAUUUUGCUACACUGGUAAAACAGUAUAAAGCAAACAAACAAACAGCUUUCUUCCAGAUCUGCUGCUGCUAUUUUUCUGUCAUUUUCUCAAAAUACCUGAUUUGUCAUUGUCAUCUGCCCUCACCCAUCAGUUCUUUCCACGCUGAAUAAGCAGAGCUGUAAUUUUUAGCAUUAAAAGUACUAGCUAUUUUGGUUAAGAAAAUAUUGCUCUAAUAUGUGCAGCAAACGGAAUAAAAAAUGCAUUAACUGAGCUGCAAUUGUAUUUUGCUUCCUCCAUCUGCUACCAUCCAGUCACACUUCCACUCCAAUCAUUUGUAGCAGACUUUCAGAAAAAUCUCCCAGGGACUGUCAGACACAGAGGAAUUUUUUUGAUAAAGCAACUACAGGCUCAUCUGCCUGAGCACGGAGGAGCAGAGAGGCACAAGGGCAGGUGGGGGAGCCCCAAUAACCUGCCAGGAGAAAGAAGCCCCUGCCCAACCCCUUCCUGUGCUGCCACAGGGGAGUCUCAGCCCCAUGGGCCAGGGGUGACCUCCAUCGCUUGGCUCUGAGAGAGAGGCCCUCCAGGUCUCCUCUCAGACUGAGGGCAUUACCCUUUGGGUGUGGGGUCACUCUGUGAUGCGGGGGUAAGCACUAGGGGAUUGUACAAAAGCAUGGGUCAUCAGGGCCCACCUAUCAGGGGUAGCAGCAAGAGGAUACUGGAGAGUGUUUAUUUGUAUAGCUGUGUAUGUCAGCAUGUAACCACAAGUGAACAUCAAGCCAGAUGAGUCAGCGAGCAGGCUGGGUGCUGAGGAUGCAAGUGCUGGUGUGGCCAUUAGUCUGGGUCAGACACUGGUGAGAUUAAUGGCUGCUAAUGGAGAGAUUAAUGGAUGCUAAUGAACUUUCAUCCUGAGCAGCCAGAGAAUGAGGAGGAGGCCAUCAGUACUCUGUGUUUGUGUGAGUGCUGUGUUUUCUGUUGCUGUUGUGAUUAGACAUAUAUAUAUAUAUAUCUAUAUAUUGUAUGUGUUUGUGUGUCAGUUGUGAAUAUGUGUUUAGCCUCACCACCAGGCGGACCUUGGAACACAGAUCUGUGGCAGCCUGACUUCUGCUGGAAUACCAGAUCUGGGUGCCCCUAAAAAAAAUUUUAAAAAAUAGUAUGGUACCUCUAAGAAGCCUCAGAAGCUGCAGAAUUAUCAGACAAUAAUUCACAUUAUUGUCAGCAUUUUCCAAAAUGAUUAGAGGGCUGUGGACAUGAAGGUGAGGCUACAAAAUGGUGCUUUUUUAUUGCCUUCAAUUGGCAGCUAGAGCCCUUCCUGGCAGGUAAAACAAAAAUCAUCUGGUUAUAGCAACAUACAUAAUAGCAACUACUGAACUACUAGUCUGUCUAUAUGUUCAUGAUAGAUUUUGAAAUGCUAGACAAACCAAAAUUGAAAUGCUUCUGUGCACACCCAGAAGCAAAAAUGUAGUUACGUGGGGAUUUAGGAAAUUACAUUAAUAACUAAAGAAUUACAUAAGCAGUGACUAAGGUUUGAAAAAAACUGUCUUGAAUUUGAAUCUUGAAUUAUUCUUAUAUUCCAAUUCCAGUGCCUAAGCUUU